rnacentral:tRNA from 1 species
GCGGGGGUUCCCGAGCCAGGUCAAAGGGGGCAGACUCAAGAUCUGCUGGCAUAGGCCUUCGUGGGUUCGAUUCCCACCCCCCGCA